UACGUAGGCAGCGAGCGUUGUUCGGAGUUACUGGGCGUAAAGGGUGUGUAGGCGGUUCUUUAAGUGAGAUGUUAAAUCGUGCGGCUCAACCAUAUCGAUGCAUCUCAUACUGGACACCUAGAGGAAAUCAGAGGCAAGUGGAACUAGUAGUGUAGCAGUGAAAUGCGUAGAUAUUACUAAGAACACCAAUGGCGAAGGCAGCUUGCUGGGAUUUUUCUGACGGUCAGAGACGAAAGCGUGGGGAGCGAACAGG
rnacentral:rRNA from 1 species